GUGGGGAAUAUUGGACAAUGGGCGAAAGCCUGAUCCAGCCAUGCCGCGUGUGUGAAGAAGGUCUUCGGAUUGUAAAGCACUUUAAGUUGGGAGGAAGGGCAGUAAGUUAAUACCUUGCUGUUUUGACGUUACCGACAGAAUAAGCACCGGCUAACUUCGUGCCAGCAGCCGCGGUAAUACGAAGGGUGCAAGCGUUAAUCGGAAUUACUGGGCGUAAAGCGCGCGUAGGUGGUUUUGUAAGUUGGAGGUGAAAUCCCCGGGCUCAACCUGGGAACGGCCUCCAAAACUGCAUGACUAGAGUACGGUAGAGGGUAGUGGAAUUUCCUGUGUAGCGGUGAAAUGCGUAGAUAUAGGAAGGAACACCAGUGGCGAAGGCGACUACCUGGACUGAUACUGACACUGAGGUGCGAAAGCGUGGGGAGCAAACAGGAUUAGAAACCCCUGUAGUCC
rnacentral:rRNA from 1 species